rnacentral:tRNA from 1 species
AUUACUUUGGCAGAAUAAUGUAUUAAAUUUAGAAUUUAAAAAUGUAUAAAUUACAAGUAAUA